UGUUGUCAGUGACCUUUACAAAAACCGGUGCUAUGCCAAAAUUUGGACGUAUAAUCAGCUACAAAUAAACGAAUAAGUAAAUAAAUACCAAAUUAUAUUAUGCUCAUUAAAUGACUUGUUCAUUGGAUUCAACUUGAGGACCCCUAAUAAGAAGAACCCUUCAUGUGAAGUCCUCAGGGAAAAAUUGGCAAAGAGGAGAGUGGGAUGCAGCCUGGAGACGUGUUAUCCCAGCACCUUGCUUAACCACGGUGAAAAACAGAUAGUGACAGCGAUAACGAAGCAGACCCUCUCAUCUUUUCUCUGUGGGCCAACCCUCCAGCAACUAUUUGUCACAAGCAGAUGUUUCAGAGAACCAUGACCUCCAUGUGCGGUUGCUGGGGAAUGGGAGCUUGGCGCCAGCGAUGAUUGGAAACCUGCAGAGCAGAGAGGCUAUGGUCAAGGACAUCGUCAGAUCACAGAACAGGGCCAGCUGAUGGAAGAGUUCAGAGGGAGGAGAAUCCUUACUUCAACAUUGCCAGGAAAGCUGCCGGUUCCACAUCUGGAA